rnacentral:ribozyme from 14 species
UUUAUUGUUACUAUUUUUUUUAAAUUGUUUGUUGUUAAUUUUUUUUUUUAACUAAAAUGAUGAUUUUUGCACCAUCACAAAAAAAACUGUCAUUAACCGUCAUUGUCGUCUGCAAUAAAAGAACAAAGGAACACCACAACCACGAUCACAGUGGAACAGUUUAUUGUUAUCCGUUAUCAUUAUUCAUAAUGAUGAUGCGCAGAAAGAGCAAAAGCAAGAUAGCUACAAC